CCUACGGGAGGCAGCAGUGGGGGAUAUUGCACAAUGGGGGGAACCCUGAUGCAGCGACGCCGCGUGGGUGAAGAAGCGCCUCGGCGCGUAAAGCCCUGUCAGCAGGGAAGAAAAUGACGGUACCUGAAGAAUAAGCCCCGGCUAACUACGUGCCAGCAGCCACCGUAAUACGUAGGGUGCAAGCGUUAUCCGGAUGUACUGGUUGGAAAGGGGACGCAGACGGCGAUGCAAGCCAGGAGUGAAAGCCCGGGGCCCAACCCCGGGACUGCUCUUGGAACUGGGUGGCUGGAGUGCAGGAGGGGCAGGUAGAAUUCCAGGUGUAGCGGUGAAAUGCGUAGAGAUGAGGAGGAAUACCAGAGGCGAAGGCGGCUGACUGGACUGUAACUGACGUUGAGGUUCGAAAGCGUGGGGAGCAAACAGGAUUAGAUACCCGGGUAGUC
rnacentral:rRNA from 1 species